GUGGUGGGGUGCCCUCCGGAGACGCCUCCGCGCCUAGAUCAAUUUUUUAAAAAUAAUUUAAAAACUGAUAAUUGAUAAUUUAAAAAAAAUUAAUCUAGGCGCGGAGGCGUCCCUGGAGGGCGCCCCACCAC
rnacentral:pre_miRNA from 1 species